rnacentral:rRNA from 1 species
UACGGGAGGCAGCAGUGGGGAAUAUUGCACAAUGGGCGAAAGCCUGAUGCAGCCAUGCCGCGUGUGUGAAGAAGGCCUUCGGGUUGUAAAGCACUUUCAGUUGUGAGGAAAGGGAUGUAGUUAAUAACUGCAUUCUGUGACGUUAGCAACAGAAGAAGCACCGGCUAACUCCGUGCCAGCAGCCGCGGUAAUACGGAGGGUGCGAGCGUUAAUCGGAAUUACUGGGCGUAAAGCGUGCGUAGGCGGUUUGUUAAGCAAGAUGUGAAAGCCCCGGGCUCAACCUGGGAACUGCAUUUUGAACUGGCAGGCUAGAGUUUUGUAGAGGGUGGUGGAAUUUCCAGUGUAGCGGUGAAAUGCGUAGAGAUUGGAAGGAACAUCAGUGGCGAAGGCGGCCACCUGGACAAAAACUGACGCUGAGGCACGAAAGCGUGGGGAGCAAACAGGAUUAGAUACCCUGGUAGUCCACGCCGUAAACGAUGUCAACUAGCUGUCUGUGCACUUGAUGCGUGGGUAGCGCAGCUAACGCGAUAAGUUGACCGCCUGGGGAGUACGGCCGCAAGGUUAAAACUCAAAUGAAUUGACGGGGGCCCGCACAAGCGGUGGAGCAUGUGGUUUAAUUCGAUGCAACGCGAAGAACCUUACCAUCCCUUGACAUCCAGAGAAGAGACUAGAGAUAGACUUGUGCCUUCGGGAACUCUGAGACAGGUGCUGCAUGGCUGUCGUCAGCUCGUGUUGUGAAAUGUUGGGUUAAGUCCCGCAACGAGCGCAACCCCUAUCCUUAUUUGCCAGCGGCUCGGCCGGGAACUUUAAGGAGACUGCCGGUGAUAAACC